rnacentral:misc_RNA from 1 species
UACUCUUUGCCAAUCGCUC